AGCCUUUUAAUUUAAGGCAAGUAUGAAAGAUUUAACAUUUUAGUUUCUUUUUUUACUAAAAUAUUUUAAUUUAAAUUAAUCAUAAAAAUGUGUUUAUAAAUAAAUUAGACGACAAGACCCUAUUGAACUUUACUAUAGUUAAGCUGGGGCAGCUUAAUAAUAAUUAUUUUAUUAUAAAAUGAUAAAUAAAUUAAUCCAAUAAAAUUGAAUGUUGAACAAGUUACCAUAGGGAUAACAGCGUAAUAAUUUUUUGAAGCUCAUAUUUAAAAAAAAGAUUGCGACCUCGAUGUUGAAUUAAUUUUACUUUAAAACGCAAUAGUUUUAAAAGUGGGUCUGUUCGACCCUUUAAAAA
rnacentral:rRNA from 1 species